GUCCUUGCCGUAAACGAUGCAUACUAGGUGUAGAGGGGCUCAACCCUUUCUGUACUGGAGCUAACGCAUUAAGUAUGCCGCCUGGGGAGUACGCUCGCAAGGGUGAAACUCAAAAGAAUUGACGGGGGCCCCGCACAAGCAGUGGAGCAUGUGGUUUAAUUCGAUGCAACGCGAAGAACCUUACCUGGGCUCGAAAUGUAGAGGACGAUAUCAGAGAUGGUAUUUCCCGAAAGGGCCUUUAUAUAGGUGCUGCAUGGCUGUCGU
rnacentral:rRNA from 1 species